ACAGAGUGCACGUGAUCACAACAUUCACACAUUUUCUGAAAAUUCUGUAGGAAGUGAAAUCUUUGAAACUCGGGGAUCAGGGAGCAACUACUGACGGCUGCGUUCGAAUACUCGCGGGAGACUUGGAUAGGUACCACAGAACUACGGAAUCGAGAGAACUGCAGUUUCAACGCGGGCUUGACCUGUCCAGCGUUGUCUCCGAAAGAUUACGGAAAGCAGCACAAGAAGACUGCCCCGGUUGACCGUGACUGGCCGCAAUGACCGGGCACGGGGAGAGUAACGUGUGUGUGGUCGAGGAGGAUAAAGAGAGUCUGAGAAGAAGGUUGGAGCAUCUGCAGAGGGAGUAUGAACGAACUGCCCUUCGACUACAGAGAGCGGAGCGCAGAGACGUGGUCCGCAGGCAUGUUCGUAGUCGCAUCUCAGAACACAACCAAUCACUGCCCUCGGAACACAACCAAUCACUGCCCUUCCCUCAAACGCAAGCCCCUCCCAUGCAUCCACUCGAGUCAAACCACUGCAGCAAACCAGCUAACCAAUCAGGACGAGGUGUGGAUGUUCCGUGCGUAGACUCUGUUCCUCAGGGUUCGUCCGCUGCAGAAUCCGGGGGUUUGGGUUCUCCGCAGACCCGGAGGGUAACCCGGGUUACGGCCGUUCAGUUCCACCUGCCGGCGGCAGCAGUCCUCUCACCGAAGCUGAGCCCCUCCCACCGGCUGAGGACCAGACGCAGCCGACUGCGCUUGGCAGAGAGAGGGAGGGAUGGAGAGAGCAGUCAGGAGAGAGAGAGGGGGAGGGAUGGAGAGAGCAGUCAGGAGAGAGAGAGGGAGAGGGAGAGGAAACGGGAGAAAGAGAGAGAGAGGGAUGGAGAGAGCAGUCAGGAGAAAGAGAGAGAGAGGAAGGGGAACCAAUCAAACGCCAUUACAGUCUUGGAAAACCAAUCAAAUGUCGCAGGCUUGGAGCACAAAUCUAGUGGUAGAUCUCAGAGUUGUGACCAGUCAUCACUGACAGCUGUGCCGUCCAAUCAGACGCAUGCGAGCCCCUCAGUCAACCAGUCAGACACCAGGAGUCUUGCUUCUGACCAAUCACAGCAAAGGAGACUCCCUAGUAACCCCAAGAGGGCAGCGGGAAACACACAGCCGGUUGCUCCCGGUGACCAGCCAGCGGUUGCCCCCGGUGACCAGCCAGCGGUUGCUCCCGGUGACCAGCCAGCGGUUGCUCCCGGUGACCAGCCAGCGGUUGCUCCCGGUGACCCGCCUGCUCACGAUGCGGUCACAGCCUCCAGCCAAUCACGAGGCAGAACGCAGCGGAGCUCUUCAGGCAAAGAGGUUGCCCAGGCAGAGGCGUGCGGAGUUGACCAAUGGGAGAGCUCGUGUACAGAGGCGUGUGGGAUCGACCAAUGGGAGAGCUCGUGCACACUGGUGGAGGGGCUGCUGUUUCCCGUGGAGUACUACGUCAGGACGACGCGCCGCAUGGCAAACUCUCAAAGCCCAUUGGACCUCGAGGCUGUCAUUCACAGCCAGCUGAGUCGGGGGCAGGGCAGACGCAGAGCCAGCCAAUCACGGCCCUCCAGGACACCCAGUGGUGCUGCCCCAGAGGUUUCCUGCCUGGACUCUAAGCCAAUCGGAGCGGAGGCUUCCUCCUUGCGGACUGAGUCUCGGCCAAUCAGGGCUCGGAGACGCCGCCGAGGGGCAGGCUGGGCCAGGAGGCCGAGGCGGAGUCGAAUCCCGAGCCCGAAAUGGACCAAUGAGGAUGCAGCGUCAGAUACAGAGUGCCUCUCUUUCUCGGAGAACCCUGACACGCCCCACUCGGAACCAAUCACGGCUGAUGACUGCACAGAGACACGCCCAAAAACCCACUCAGAGCCAAUCACAACAGAUUACCUCACAGAGACACACCCACACACCCAUUUGGAGCCAAUCACAGCAGAAGACUGCACAGAGACACGCCCACAAACCCACUCAGAGCCAAUCACAGCAGAAGACUGCACAGAGACACGCCCACAAACCCAGUCAGAGACAAUCACAGCUGAUGACCUCACAGAGCCACGCCCACAAACCCCUGGUCUCGUCGAAUCACAGCCACUCCCACACCAGAAGCCACUCCUCCUUCCAGAAGUCUACCCAAUCUUCAAGAGGGGGAGUGACCCGAAACUACAGCAAACACAGGCAGACGAAAGAGGCGUAUCGUCUCUGCUACUGCCCUCUCUGGCCUCUCUCACCCACGCGCUGAAAGCAGAGGAUCAUGGGAGUCUGCUGCUCACCUUUGACCUCCAGGACUUCCAUCUCCCUGACGACGAGUUUGGCCACCUCAAGCUGCAAAAGCUCUGCCCCCUGAACCCGGGCGUGGAGCCGUACUCUCCUCCGGACUGCGUCCUGAACACGCGUCGUAGCAACCGUCGGCAUAGCAACAAGACUCUAGGCAACGCCACGCCUGGCAACAAGACGCCUGGCAACGCGACGCCCGUCAAUCGCUGUAAAAGGGCUCUUUUGGACUCCCACUCUGAGGACAGUGAUUGGUUGAGCUCAGACCCCCUGCUCCUAAGCCCCACCUCAACAGGAAGUGAGGUGCACUGCAGCCAAUCACAGACAAGGGGUGAUGAGCUGGACCAGUCACAGAAUAAACGGAAGCCAAUCCCAGGCUUAACAGAUACCAGGGACCAAUCAGAGAAGAGGUCGGGCACUGCCAACCUGUCAGACACAACGGGGCGGGCUGGUGACCAAUCCCAACCAGGGGGAGGGACUACUGACCAAUCAGACAGGCAAAUAGACCCUACUGACCAAUCAGAGAGGCAAAUAGACCCUACUGACCAAUCAGAGAGGCAGGGAGAAAGCGCUGGCUGCAGGCUAACACGGACAGAUGCCCACAACACUUUAGACACACACACACUUGCAGACGCACACUCAGACAUACACAAUGCUUUAGACACACACACACUUGCAGACACACACUCACACAUACACAACACUUUAAACACACACACACUUGCAGACAUACACUCACACAUACACAACACUUUAGACACACACACACUGGCAGACACACACUCACACACACACAAUGCUUUAAACACACACUCAGACAUACACAAUGCUUUAGACACGCACAGAGACACACACACAUCCACAGUCACACACCCACUCAAAGAUUCAGAAACACACUCAAACACAAAGAUUCUCACACACACUCACACACUGACAGACUUGUGCCCGCUCAAAGACUCAAAUACAGUAUCAGACACACACACACACUGUGUGGCAGACACACACACACACUCUGUGGCAGACACACACACACACUCUGUGGCAGACACACACACACACUCUGUGGCAGACACACACACACCCGCUCUUCUGAACCUCAGCCUGUCCCUGACCUCACACAGCCAGAGGGGUCACGACCUGACCUGCCCUCCCUUGGCCUCACCCCGUUCUCUCCCCCCCGCCCUGUGAACGCUCUCCUCCUCCGUCCGCAGUGCUCACCAUCCCUCUCUCCCUCCCUCUGUCCGCAGCGAUCUCCAUCCCUCUCUCCCUCCCUCCGUCCGGGACGCUCUCCAUCCCUCUCUCCCUCCCUCCGUCCGCGACGCUGCUCGCCAUCCCUCUCUCCCUCGCUCUCCGUCACUUCCUCCCGGGCCCAGAGCCCUGUCCAUAUGCCUGCUGCUGAUUGGCCGACAGAGUCUCUGAGAGGUGGAGCCGACAGUCAGGUUCUAGAGCCAAGUAGAACAACCAGCACAGAGAAGAACCUACCUGGUAACUGGACAGAACAGAACCAGAUGACCGCUAGAGCCAAAAUGGAGGACAACCUAACUACAACCUGC
ensembl:lncRNA